AGCAAGUAGAGAAAGCCCAUGUGUGGCAACGAAGACCCAACUCAGCCAAAAAAAAUAAAACUCCAUUCCUAUCAUCUCUAGGACAAACAAAACCCCUUGAUCUGAUGUUCCAGGUCCUUCAUAAUGCUCCCCGCCCCCUUCCAUUGCUGCUUUUACCACACUGUGGCUCAAUAACAGCAAUAAUACCACUCAUUUAUUGAGCACUUACUGUGGGCCAGGCAAUGUGCCAAACACUUUACCUGCAUCUCAAGCAGCCCUGUGAAGUGGCUGGUCAGCUAGCAAGUGGUGGGGCUGGGAUUUGAAUCCAGGCAGUCUGGCUGUGGACCCCAUCCUUGUCAUUACUAUGACUCUGCCCACCCCCCCCCCAGAAAAAAAUGAAGAGAUUGCCUGACACAAUCAAUACUCCUGCUUAGAUGUAAUUAUUACUCUUGUAUUUAUUAUUUUAUUUUAGUUUUUAAUUUUUUAUUUUAUUUUUGGUUGCGUUCGAUCUUCGCUGCUGCACUCAGGGUUUCUCUAGUUGUGGCGAGCGGAGGCUACUCUUCGUUGUGGUGCGCGGGUUUCUCAUUGCAGUGGCUUCUCUUGUUGCGGAGCACAGGCUCUAAGCGCACGGGCUUCAGUAGUUGUGGCAUGUGGGCUCAGUAGUUGUGGCUUGCGGGCUCUAGAGCACAGGCUCAGUAGUUGUGGCACAUGGGCUUAGUUGCUCCGUGACAUGUGGGAUCUUCCUGGACCAGGGAUCGAACCCAUGUCCCCUGCAUUGGCAGGUGGAUCCUUAACCAUUGCACCACCAGGGAAGUCCCAUACUCUUGUAUUUAAUCAUAUGAAAUUUUUUGUGCUCCAUCAGAGUCCUACAGCUCUGAUUUUGAAUCCUGGCUGUGACUGUAGAAAUGUCAGAACUGGGUGGCUGCUGCCAUAUGAGGACAGAAGGUGGGGAUCAUGAAGCAAGGCCCCUGACAGGUACACAUGAGGGACAGGGCUCCCAGCCUCUGGUCAACACUGGCUGGCCAUCCAGCUUGGUGCUCCCUGCAGUGAGGGGUGGUUUCUCCCUCUCAGAACCUCAGUUUUCCCAGGUACACAGCCAGGGUGGAGCAGUCUGAGCUACUUGACCUCUUUCAUUUCACAACCCCCCUUUGACAAUUUAAUGAAAGAUACAAACCCUAGAAAAAUGCGUAGAGAUGAAAAAAUUGCAUACACUUUGGGCGGGUCACGGACCCCACCCAGAACCCAUAAACUCCAGGUGCAGCUGUUGGGAGGCAGUGUGGGGCACUGUUCAGGCCCCUGGGCUCUGGGGGCAGAGAGUCCUGGGUUCAGAUUCUGACUCCCCCAGGCACUAGCUCUGUGACCUCAGUCCUCUUAACAAAGUAGGUAAUUACACUCAUCUCACGUGCUGUUGUGAGAACCCACUGAGACACUGCAGAAAAGGCUUCAGCCAGGCCCAGCACCAUGGUGAGCAAUCAGAAAGGGACUCCCAAUAUUUAAGGAAAUAUUUCUCCAAGGGUGACCCAUGGACCACCUGGAUCAGAAUCCCAUGGCGGGACUUGUUUAAAAUGCACGUUCCUGGACUUCUUGCCCAGAAAAUCUGAUUCUUCAGGUCUGGGAUGGCGGCUAGGAGUAUGCAUUUUAAACCAGUCUCUGCCUCCCAAUUCUACUGGGAGUUAGUCUGAGAAGCACUAUGCUUUUCCCACCUCUACAGUCCAGGUCCUGGAAAGAGACUAAGUUUCCGGUAGGCUGGGAAGAGCAGAAAACAGGUGCAGGGAUGGUGCAAGGGACGCCUCUGAGCGCCCUUCGGGGCCCCCCUCCAGGGAUGAGCAGAACCCGGGCUACCCCACCCCGUACCCUUCAGUGGGUCUUGGUGGUGCCUCUAGCUGCCCCCGAUGUGAGGACCGACGCCCUCCAGGCCAGGCGACAUGGGGAGGGGCGACAGGGCCUCUGGGGAGCAGAAAGGAAAGUGAAACCUCCUGCCCAGCCUUUCGCUUUCGCCGCCUCCACUCGCCGUCCAGGUGGCCCCCGCGAUCCCCUGUCGCGCUGGGGUCUGGCCGCCGCGCUCCCCAGACCUGGUCCCCGGAGCACUGUGUCCCCGAUGGCCGGCGACCAAUGGCGGAGGGACGAAGGGAGGGUUCCCGACAGCAGGCGACUCAUGGCGGGGGCCGGGGGUCCCCUGCGUCUCCGCGACUGGCUGGUGGCGCAGAUCGAGAGCGGGCGCUACGCUGGGCUGCGCUGGGAGGACGCGGGCAAGACCCUCUUCCGCAUCCCCUGGAAGCACGCAGCCAAGCAGGGCUACCAGGCGCAGCAGGACGCGGCGCUCUUCAGGGCCUGGGCCAUAUACAAGGGCAAGCACCUAGAGGGCGUUGACAAGGAGGACCCCUCCACCUGGAAGACGCGGCUCCGCUGUGCCCUCAACAACAGCGCUGACUUCUGUGAGGUGCGCUCGCUCAACCAGCUGGACAUCUCCAACCCCUACAAGGUCUAUCGGCUCCUGUCUGCCGGUGCCCACAACCCAGUUACCAGGGCUUGUGCCCCCUGUAAAGAGGAGGGCAUUCUUCAUAGCCAGCAGGUGCCCCCUGGAGAAGUGAGAGAGCCGGCCUGCAAGACAGAAGAGCAGGUUGGCUCCAGAUUAGUCACAGAGGAUAAAGACAAGAAGCAGCCCCCCAGGCUGGCCUCCCUGCCCUCAGGCCCUUUGGCUGGCCACAGGUACCAGGCUCAGGAUCCUGCUCACCCCUGGGGCCCCUUACCUUCUGAGGACUUCAGCAACCCCGAUUUUUGGCUGCACGUGCGACUCUUCUAUGGCGCGGAGCUGGUGCGCGAAGCCACAGCGCGCGCGGCCGAGGGCUGCAGCCUGAGUCCGCGCGCAGCCGCCGCUGCCGCCGAGCUCCUGCUGGGGUCGCCGCCGCGCGUCGCGCAGGUUCGUUUCCCGGAGCCGCCGCCCGGCGCCCGCGUCCUGCGGCGCCUGCUGCCCCACCUGGAGCGCGGAGUGCUGCUCUGGGUGGCUCCCGAGGGCGUCUUCGCCAAGCGCCUGUGCCAGGGCCGUGUGUACUGGCGCGGCCCGCUCGCCCCGCACCGCGCGCGGCCCAACAAACUGGAGCGAGAGCGCACCUGCCAGCUCCUCGACACGCGCAGCUUCCUCGCGGGUAAGAGCGCGACAGCGGGGCCGCUGGCGGCGCGGGGCGGAGUGGCCGGGCACUGGGGUCGGCAAAGGAACUCGGACAGAGGAGAGUGGGCACACGAGAUGUGCGCGUGGGGCGAUGGACUUGACGAUGCUGGGCUGGAGUAGGAAUGGAAACAAAGGACAUGACGCAGAAGCACCGGGGGAGCCCGAGUACCAGAUCCGGCUGUGCUUUGGCGAGGAGUACCCGGGGCCCCCAGACCAGCCUGAGGAGCGUCUCAUUAUGGCCCAUGUGGAGCCAGUCUUCGCGCGGGAGCUCCUCCUACACUCGAAGCUCCACGGCC